CGACCCUCAAGCACAGCUUGGUGUUGGGCUCGGUCCUGCAGGACCCGCCCGUAACUCGUAGGCGGCCGCCGCCCGCGCCCCCAGCGUAGCAAGCUCACGCGUUCGCUCGGGGACGGCGCGGCUGGCCCGCCCGCAAAUGUUUCCAAGGU
rnacentral:misc_RNA from 1 species